UUUCCGUAGGUGAACCUGCGGAAGGAUCAUUAUUGUAUAACCAACGUGCGAGUGCUGUUGCUGACCCGAAAGUUCGUUCACGCCCGAGUGCCCUCACACAGAUCCAUCUCACCCCUAUGUGCACCACCGCGUGGGACCCCCUUUGGCUUGUUCGGCGGGGGGCUUACGUUGUCACACAAACUUUGUAUGCAGUGUAGAAUGCAUUUUUUGUUUUUGCGAUCAUGCAAUAAAUACAACUUUCAACAACGGAUCUCUUGGCUCUC
rnacentral:misc_RNA from 1 species